UAUCUACUCCCUCCGUUCGGAAUUACUUGUCUCGGAAAUGGAUGUAUCUAGAACUAAAAUACAUCUAGAUACAUCCAUUUCUGCGACAAGUAAUUCCGAACGGAGGGAGUAUCAC
rnacentral:pre_miRNA from 1 species